CUGGGAUGACCAACACUGGUAGGCAGAGAGACUGGGAUGACCAACACUGGUAGGCAGAGAGACUGGGAUGACCAACACUGGUAGGUAGAGAGACUGGGAUGACCAACACUGGUAGGCAGACAGACUGGGAUGACCAACACUGGUAGGCAGACAGACUGGGAUGACCAACACUGGUAGGUAGAGAGACUGGGAUGACCAACACAGACUGGGAUGACCAACACUGGUAGGCAGACAGACUGGGAUGACCAACACUGGUAGGCAGAGAGACUGGGAUGACCAACACUGGUAGGUAGAGAGACUGGGAUGACCAACACUGGUAGGUAGAGAGACUGGGAUGACCAACACUGGUAGGCAGACAGACUGGGAUGACCAACACUGGUAGGCAGAGAGACUGGG
ensembl:lncRNA